rnacentral:rRNA from 1 species
UGGGGAAUAUUGGACAAUGGGCGAAAGCCUGAUCCAGCCAUGCCGCGUGUGUGAAGAAGGUCUUCGGAUUGUAAAGCACUUUAAGUUGGGAGGAAGGGCAGUAAGCGAAUACCUUGCUGUUUUGACGUUACCGACAGAAUAAGCACCGGCUAACUCUGUGCCAGCAGCCGCGGUAAUACAGAGGGUGCAAGCGUUAAUCGGAAUUACUGGGCGGAAAGCGCGCGUAGGUGGUUCGUUAAGUUGAAUGUGAAAGCCCCGGGCUCAACCUGGGAACUGCAUCCAAAACUGGCGAGCUAGAGUAGGGCAGAGGGUGGUGGAAUUUCCUGUGUAGCGUUGAAAUGCGUAGAUAUAGGAAGGAUCACCAGUGGCGAAGGCGACCACCUGGGCUCAUACUGACACUGAGGUGCGAAAGCGUGGUGAGCAAACAGG